AGACCUUAACCUGCUAAAUAGCCAGGCGAGCUUUGGCUCGUCGCCGGCUUCUUAGAGGGACUAUCGGCUCAAGCCGAUGGAAGUUUGAGGCAAUAACAGGUCGUCUAUCACAGGCCUGUAGAAGCGGGUUUUACUACCGCUAGUCCAACACCUUUAGACCUGUGGGGAAGUCCCCAAUGUCGGGCGGGUCGGGCAUCUCUGGGUGUCUUGGAGUGGGCUACACUACCUGGUACAGGGAACGCCCUCA
rnacentral:rRNA from 1 species